UACGGGGGGGGUAAGCGUUGUUCGGAAUUACUGGGCUUAAAGGGUGCGUAGGCGGCCAAGUAAGUGAGGUGUGAAAUCCCUCGGCUCAACCGAGGAACUGCGCUUCAUACUGCUUGGCUUGAGGGAGACAGGGGUAAGCGGAACUGAUGGUGGAGCGGUGAAAUGCGUUGAUAUCAUCAGGAACACCGGUGGCGAAAGCGGCUUACUGGGUCUCUUCUGACGCUGAGGUACGAAAGCUAGGGGAGCGAACGGG
rnacentral:rRNA from 1 species